GAUGAACGCUGGCGGCGUGCCUAAUACAUGCAAGUCGAGCGAACAGACGAGGAGCUUGCUCCUCUGACGUUAGCGGCGGACGGGUGAGUAACACGUGGAUAACCUACCUAUAAGACUGGGAUAACUUCGGGAAACCGGAGCUAAUACCGGAUAAUAUAUUGAACCGCAUGGUUCAAUAGUGAAAGACGGUUUUGCUGUCACUUAUAGAUGGAUCCGCGCCGCAUUAUCUAGUUGGUAAGGUAACGGCUUACCAAGGCAACGAUGCGUAGCCGACCUGAGAGGGUGAUCGGCCACACUGGAACUGAGACACGGUCCAGACUCCUACGGGAGGCAGCAGUAGGGAAUCUUCCGCAAUGGGCGAAGGCCUGACGGAGCAACGCCGCGUGAGUGAUGAAGGUCUUCGGAUCGUAAAACUCUGUUAUUAGGGAAGAACAAAUGUGUAAGUAACUAUGCACGUCUUGACGGUACCUAAUCAGAAAGCCACGGCUAACUACGUG
rnacentral:rRNA from 1 species